rnacentral:rRNA from 1 species
AUGCGGCGGGUGCAGGACACCCUCCUCAACGGCGAGCAGUCCUACUCCUACUCCUACUCCUCCCGCGGCGCCGCCCGGCUCCUCGUCGGCCAUGGGCUGGAGCACGACCUCGACGCGUUGGGCAUGGACUACCAGGCGCACCUCAGGCGGGACACGGCCGUGUGCCGGCCGCUGAUGAAGACCAGCGCUAGGCACAUGAGCAAUUCGCUCCGGUAUCUCACACGGAGCUGCCUGGGCUAUGAUAUACAGACGGGUGGCCACCAUCAUCCCUACGACGACUGCGUGGCCGCCAUGCGCCUAUACAAGAGGAUGCGCGCCAUGAGUCACCUGCACCUUUACGGUCGGCCCAAAGACGACGAUGAUGAGUCCACGGUCAAGGCCUUCCCGGCGUGGAGGCAGCGAGAGCUGGAGCGCAUGUCGCCGGAGGAGCUCCUGGCGAUGUCCAAGCCCGACUACCGAUGUUGGUGCCUCGACGACCGGCGAUGCUGA